AGGCAGCGUGAGGGGAGGUUCAGAAGUCAUAGCAGCAGAAUCAGGACAUUCGGCUCAUCUACUCCACUAUUCAAACAUGGCUGAUCUAUAUUCCCGCCUCAAUCCCAUUCUUCUGCCUUCUCCCCGCAACCUUUG